rnacentral:rRNA from 1 species
GUCUAUGGCCGUGCCACCCUGAACAAGCCCGAUGCGUUUGAUCUUGGAAGCUGAGCAGGGUCAGGCCUGGUUAGUACUUGGAUGAGAGACCACCUAGAAAGACCAGGUGCUGUAGGUG